rnacentral:rRNA from 1 species
UACAGAGGGUGCAAGCGUUGCUCGGAUUUACUGGGCGUAAAGCGUACGCAGACGGCUUGGUAGGUCGAAUGUGAAAGCCCCGGGCUCAACCCGGGAAAUGCAUUCGAAACCACCUCGCUCGAGUGUGGGAGAGGGAAGCGGAAUUCCUGGUGUAGAGGUGAAAUUCGUAGAUAUCAGGAGGAACACCGGCGGCGAAGGCGGCUUCCUGGCCCAUUACUGACGUUCAGGUACGAAAGCGUGGGUAGCAAACAGGAUUAGAAACCCUAGUAGU